rnacentral:misc_RNA from 1 species
CAACCCUCAAGCCUAGCUUGGUCUUGGGCCCUGCCGGAAACGGCUGGCCUUAAAAUCAGUGGCGGUGCUAUCAGGCUCUACGCGUAGUAACUAAACCCUCGCGUGUGAGUCCCGGUAGACGCUGCCAGCCAACCCCCAAUUUCUAU